rnacentral:rRNA from 1 species
UACGUAGGGUGCGAGCGUUGUCCGGAAUUAUUGGGCGUAAAGAGCUCGUAGGCGGUCCGUCGCGUCGGUCGCGAAAACUUGGGGCUUAACCCUGAGCUUGCGGUCGAUACGGGCAUGACUGGAGUUCGGCAGGGGAGACUGGAAUUCCUGGUGUAGCGGUGAAAUGCGCAGAUAUCAGGAGGAACACCGGUGGCGAAGGCGGUUCUCUGGGCCGAUACUGACGCUGAGGAGCGAAAGCGUGGGGAGCGAACAGG